rnacentral:rRNA from 1 species
AUUGAACGCUGGCGGCAUGCCUUACACAUGCAAGUCGAACGGCAGCACGGGAGCAAUCCUGGUGGCGAGUGGCGAACGGGUGAGCAAAGUAUCGGAACGUGCCCAGUCGUGGGGGAUGACGUAGCGAAAGUUACGCUAAUACCGCAUACGAUCUAUGGAUGAAAGCGGGGGAUCGCAAGACCUCGCGCGAUUGGAGCGGCCGAUAUCAGAUUAGGUAGUUGGUGGGGUAAAGGCUCACCAAGCCGACGAUCUGUAGCUGGUCUGAGAGGACGACCAGCCACACUGGGACUGAGACACGGCCCAGACUCCUACGGGAGGCAGCAGUGGGGAAUUUUGGACAAUGGGCGAAAGCCUGAUCCAGCCAUGCCGCGUGCAGGAUGAAGGCCUUCGGGUUGUAAACUGCUUUUGUACGGAACGAAAAGGUUUGGCCUAAUAAGCUGAGCUCAUGACGGUACCGUAAGAAUAAGCACCGGCUAACUACGUGCCAGCCGCCGCGGUAA